UCCUAGACAUAAACUCUCUGCAUGGUCUC
rnacentral:piRNA from 1 species